UGUCGGCCUCCCUUUUACAUAAGGGCAAAUGGGGCGGCGCUGCGUCCGCCAUUCUUGUUUCGGGCAGAUUUCUUUCCCUCUGAAAAAUUGAGCGGCCAGGUUGGGUUAGGUAAUGAAGCCACAGAGUCUGUUAAAGUUAUAGUUUGGUCUAAGCAACCAUUUUUGAGUAUGGCAGGCGUGAGCUUUUCAUUGGCUAAUUGUUUCUGAAAGUCAGUUUAUUUGGUGGAGUGGUUUUUUAAGCAGCCUAAGAAGUUUCUAGGUAUAUAAAAUGUUGUGAUCUGUCUUGAAAUUAUUCUUGAUAAAACUGGCAAACGUUUUAAAUCCCAGUCAUAGAUCUUAGGCAACAACUUAGAUGAAUCCUUGAUAAAAAAUAUUUAACUGGAAUAUGACAUUUUCCUUUGUGAUUUUGGAGACCCAGUAAAGAGAGCCGCAGCUCUCCUUGUGAAUGUAAUAUCCAGUUUGUUGUUGUUUUAACCAUUCAGUCUUGUGCUACUCUUGCCGACUUUAUAGGCACAGCAUCAGCUUAUUUCCUUAAAGUCUGUCUGAAAAGUCAUACAUCCAUUAUUUCUAGUUGGUUCUCUUUUAUCAAAUUUCCCCGAUCUGGUAUUCUUCAGAUAAGGUAUACCUUGAUACCCAUCGCUUCUCAGCGAUGGGAACUGCUUCCCAAUAGGGAAGACGAUCUUUCAAUUAUUGAAUCAACCUUAAACAAAAAGGAUAUUGCUUUGUCUAUUUUUGAAGGCCUUGCAUUUGUCACACCAGGAUAAGGCUGCCGAUCAUGGCAUUUCCAUACUAUGGACUAGUCUGUUUGAGUGACAUCACAUAUAUUUAUUUCCUCACCAAAAAACGUGUCUGUUAAGAUGCCAAAAUGAAGAAUCACCACUGCUAAUUUAACCAUUCUAUAAGUAUUACUCUCCUCUUUUCAAGCCAUCCUCUCUUGUUAUUAAUACCCACAGUCAUCAUGCAUUCAGAGUUAACAAUUACAUCUGUGAAGAAGUCAUUAAUUUGGCAUUUGUAAUGUAGUGUUGCUGAAUAAAUGGCUUGGAUGUUACAUCUGCCGAUGUUCAUCACUUACAUUUCAGCACACCUUUUGCAGUCUGUUUAGUUAUCCGGUUACAGAAGUUCUAGACUUUAUUAUCAUUACAUAUAAUUGAGGUCUGGCACCUCUUGUUUGCUCCAGUUUGUACGGGAUGUAUUAGGCCUUUUUUUAGGACAAACUGUGUAUAAAUAUCCAAGAUAUGCUGGUGAAUUUAGUUGCAUAGAUGACUAUACCCUUAGUUUCUUUCUUUAUAGGAAUUUAACUAUCAACAAGCAAACUGAAAUAUUUGAUAAUAUGAACAAAAUUAAGAAAGCUUUUGGAAACAGAAGAGCUUUCAGAUAAAUACCCUAGUGCUUCUAAUCAAGAGACACUAUACAUUUUUUUCACCUUUUUCUUACCACCUUUUUGUGGUAAUAAAAUGGAUUUGAUUGGUUUUUGUGGGGAAAAUAUAGGAAGAUUACAAUAGAAAAUGACUAUGACAGGAUCACCCACAUAAUUUUAUAUUGUGAUUAUACAAAAACAUUUUCACUGAGAAAAAUACCUAGUAUAUUAUUUUCUUCUAGGUAUAUUUGUAUACACACAUAUACAUGUUGCAUAUAUGAUAAAGUACACUCUGUAUGGAGAAGAUCUUCAGUGUAAUCCCUAUUAUAUCAAUGAAUAAGAAAUAGUGGGAAAGAGUUUCUGUACAGUCUUUUUCUCAAAUAGUCUUUGACGCAGCACGAGCAAGUACAGUAUGAGGCAGCUUCCUACACAGUUAUUUAAGAUUCAAUAUCAAAGGACACAUUUCUUAGCCUUUUCCACACAGUUCAGUUGAAGUGCCAUUUUUCCAAUCUUGACCAGUAGAAAAAAAACUACUGGAAUAAAAUCUGCUGCCCAAUUGCUGAUUCUUAUCCUGCCUCAAUUACUUCUGUUCAUUUAAUUUCAUUCAGCUAAUUCCCCUCCAAAUUAACAGAUUCACAAACCUUGAAGGUUUCCUUGAAUGGUAUUGGAAGAAAAUUCUACAUUAACUUCAGUAUAGCCAAGAGUAAAUGGUUUAACUCUAUCUCAUGUGGUCUGGGGAUAAGGGAAAAAAGCAUCUUAUGCUGAAGGGGAAAAAAAGGUUGCCAGGGCAUCUUUGUUCUGUGGUUCAGUGAAAAGAGAAAAGGCCUUACAUAGGAACAAAUGAAAAAAGUUACAAACUUAAAGGUGGGAAGCAUUUAUUAGAACUCCUGGAUUACCCCAGACUUGAAUGAUGUUAUUGACUUAGACUCCACCCAAAAGUCCUUUUCCAAAUGCUGCUCUUCAGAAUCAAAUCACUGUGAACUUUCCUGUGCAUGAAAAUCUCAGAAUUCUCUAUUCUUUUGCAGAUCAUUCUGACUUUGAGGGACUGGAGUUUGCAGAGGAGCCUUUUAGCUAUGCCACAAGAAGCUAAAUCAAGAGCCAUGUAUCCUAUAUCAAGCCUGUACAGGAAGGAGGCUCCUAUAAUUCUGCCAUAUGUUUUCAGUGAAUUGUGAAGAUUUAAAUAUCACAUGUAUAUAAAAGAUCAUACUGAACAUUUGGUUUAAAGACAGUUCUGAAAAAGUCCUCCUUUCUUGAAAAUUAAAAUACGGCAUUGUCCUGGCACCAAAUGUCCAGGCUGUACUGGAAGACAAAGCUGUACUGAUAAACAAAAUGAGCAUUUGCUCAGCCUCAGCAGUUUAUGGCAUUGGUACUUUUUAAAAAACCAAUAAUGAGGUAUUAAGAAAAUGGUAAUAUAUUCAGAUGCAUUAAAAUAGUAGUUUUGUACAUAAAGUAGUCAGACUAAUGAACAGAAAUUGGCCAGAAACAAGCUUUUAUUCUGUUGUAGUAGAUAACUAAGUUUCAAACAAUAUAUUAUGUAGAUUUUUUUAAAAAGACAUAAUAAAAAAAUUGAACACUCCCCUAAUCCAAUAGGUUUGGGGCAACAAACUUACUUUCUUCCCAAGGAACAGUUUUGGCUUACAAAUCUGUGCAUGCUUACUUGAAAGUUACUAUUAUUUACUUCCAGAAAACAUAUAAUUAUGUGGACUGCACAUAAUUGCCAUCAAUUAUAGUUAUCUGUAGUUGUUGUCUUGCCUAAGUAACCCCCUGUACUUCACAUAAUAGUACAUGAAAGAUAUUAUAUGAAAAGUUCACAGUGACCACUUCUUUUAUAUAUUUGAAAUUCACCUUCCACUAAACAAUCUUACCCUAAUGAUCCUUAAAAAAGUCACCACUUUUUCUUCAUGUUAUCAUUUAUGCAUAACUUACUACUCUUUCAUUUUCUUGGAUGUCUUAACUUGUAAGUACAAUAUGCUCACUCCAAAAGACUUCAAAGCAAAUAAUACUUAGGACUGGUUUUUAAGUAUUUCCCUAGAUAACAGCUGGAAAAUGAGAUUAUGGUUAGAAUUUCCAGUCUUCGUGUAUGUUGGCCUCUUUAAGGCCAUCUAUUUUCAAAGUCACUGUCAUUAGUCUUUCACAGUGAAAUCAAAACAAGUGUUUUGUGGCAUGAGAUAUCAGUAUAUUUGAUGAGAGAACUGGGUUCUAGGAAAGCAAAGCAGUAAUAAAUUUGUUAGUCUUUAAGGUAACCUAAACCCUUUACUAUUACAAUUUUAUUCCUAACAUUUUCAGGUUUUUUUCUCUGCCAAUCAUAUCAGAAUAUUCUAUAUCCACUUAUUGGAUUCAGGGUGCUGAAUUUCCCAUUAAAGAUCUGAAUUAAAGCUUUCUGUAUAAAGAAAAAAAAUAAACAAGUCAUUAUUUUGAUUUCUAUCACUAUUGGAUGAUUGUUUCAUUGAUUAUGUGCCAUCAUGACAAUGCUGACUCUUAACCAUACAGAUAGAUUCUAUCCAGGAUGAUCUGUCCCCAACCUGAUUCUUCAAUUUUUCCAACACUCUGAUAAUUUGAGUCUAUCCAACUUGCUGCUGGUUAUUGUCUUCUUCUCUUUCCUUCCACCUUUCCCAGCAUUAGACACCAUUCCAGAGAGCUAAAUCUUCAUAUAAUGUGUCCAAAAUAUGAAAAUUCGAGCAGCAACAUUUGUGCCUCAAGUGACAACUCUGAACUGAUGUGUGUGAUGGUCAGUUAGUUUGUUUUCAUGGUUAUCUGUGGUAUUCUUAGGAAUCUUCUCCAGCACUCAAGUUUAAAAGUGUCAAUAUUCUUUCUAACCUGCUUCUUCAAGUCCAACUUUUGCUUCCAUAGAGUAUCAAAGGGAAAAACACUGCCUAUUCAGUUCUGAUCUUUGUAGAUGUGUGCACAUCCCAGAAUUUAAAUGUUUUCCAAGGCCUUCAUUGCUUCCCUAGCAAGUGCUAGUCUGAGGCAUAUUUCUUAACUGCUGGUUCCUUUGCUGUUCAUUGUUGAGUCUAAAAAGCAAACUGACAUCUUCACUGUCAGUCCUGAGGCUGGUUGUCUAUAGUGGUCUUUAUAUUUAAUCUUAAUCCCAUUUUUUAACUUUGCUCCUUGACUUUUUUUUAACAGAUCUUGCAAAUUAUUUGCAUUUUCAGCUAUCAAAAUAGUAUCAUUCAGGUAUUGGUCCUUCCUCCAGUCUUAAAGUCAUCUUCUAGCUUCUCUUAGUAUACGGUAAACUCAGCAAAUAGUUUGAAUAAAUAAGGAAAGAGUGCACAAUCUUGUUUCACUCGUAUGCCAACCUUGAGCCGUUCUUGUUUCCCCAUGGUCUCUCUGGAUUAUGGCUUCCUGACCUGUAUAUAGGUUUUGCCAGUAAGAUAUUAUGGGAUUGCUAUCACUAUGGUGUUACCUAAAAUAUCUGAAUUAAUUGGAGAAGUACAGUAGAUGUUUUGGGCAGAAUUAGCUAAAUUGAGGUACAGGCUUGGGGACUGGUACUACAGCUUUUCUCUGGAAACCUGAUGUAAAGACUACAAUAUGUGCCUUGUGUUGGAGGAAUAGACUUUUAUUUACAUUUAUGUUUGUACAUAUAUAAAGUAAAUAGUAUUACUGUGCCAUUUUAUCAUCCAAACUGUAUUUUGCAAAGGAAAAUAAACUUUGUAGUAUUGCUUUUAGAACUGUUCACAGUUAAAAUAUAUGGGCAUGCACAACAUUAUGCAAAACUCCAUAUAUUUAAACUGGAAUAUAUUAGGAACAUUAGGUACAUCUAUAUAAAAGUGGGUGUGCUUAUUGCAGAGUUGGAUUUUUUUUUGCCAAAGUCCACAGUGAUAAAAGCAAAUACAAGUUUAUAAUAUGACAAUUUUUAAAAUAACCAUUUAAAAUAAAUGCUCAAUUGAUGAGAGUUUCAUCAUAUUUCCCAAAGAACUAAUAAGGAGGUAUGGUCUCUAUUCCUGGAGAUAAAUACCCAUAAUGAAUAAUAGCUACUGUUCCUAUAGUCAUUCCGUGGUAACCAGCUUUGCUAGUACAUCAUCAUGAGAGGUAUCUCCCUUGUGUCCUGAACACACAUUUCUCCACUCUCUGGGAGAUUAAUUGCAUUCCAUUAUUUCAACACCUUUGCAUUUCUGCCUGAUUUUAUUUUCCAUCUGAACAACAUUCUCAGUGAUAUAAAUAUGAAGACAACUUGUGAAACCAGGGUGAAUGUUCAGUUCCUGUAUGCAAAGCAAAUUUUUGGAUUCAUAAAUCUUUAACACUAUUGGGAACCUGGUAUUGUCAUUUAUGCGUAGUGAUUUGGUUCAGGAAUCUUUGCUUUCAAGAGUUUUAGCUUUUUGUGAUACAUAGUUGUCCCUGCCUCCCUCUAUCCUUCUGCACGAAAAGUUUGUGUCUCUGAGCUCACAUUACAACUACUGAAAAGACAACAGAAGGUCUCAAAGAAUGAGAAAAUUGUUUGGUUGCUCCAUUAUACAUUUGUUUCAUUCAUGCUCUAUCUUCCUCCCAGAAACCUAGUGCACUGUUUUAUUAAAAGACACAUAGAGAUGCAUAUAUACCACUUCAUGAGACAGGAUGUGUCACAAAAGUAUAAACUGCCCAAAGCUAUUCAACAAGCUUAGCUGCAUUUGAACCUAAAUUUCACCAAAUUCCAUCAGCAUCACACAUCUGCUAACAUUCCCUCUCGGGUUAAAUAAUUUGUUUGACAACUUGACUAGCCUGACCAGUUUUAUAUGAUACGAUAUUCUCAGAUACAUCUUUCUUUAUAAGCUGGUGCUAUAAAGAAAUGACUACUUGAUUAUUUAACUAAAAAGUACAAACUAGAUGUAAUAAACCUUAAGUCUACCCAUAGCUUUAUGAGUUUAUCUACGUUUGUUCCUGUGUAGUUUUUCCUCUGUUUUGAAGGGCUCUUCAUGCACUUUCUUUUUUUAGAAUUAGAAUUUUUUAAUGUAUAAUACUAUGAGGCAAGUUUUGUAAUUGUACCCCACAGAAGUUUAAUGUAGGAAUUACUGAAAAUUAAUGGGUAUCACUGCAAGGCACAUAUCAUCCUAUCAAGAAGUUACUGUGAGUAAAAUUCUAUGCAAAGAGAUUGUAAAGAUAACUCAGUGAAUUCUAGCAUGUUAUUGUGCAAAGUUUCCAUCAAAAUUGAAUAAUGGGCACAAUUACCAAAAUCCAUCUGGGAUAUAUGUUGGCUUCCUAAGCUUUUCCAACAGCUCCACUUGAAUGAACUUAUUUAUCAUCCUGUAGUCACUGACCAUUUUCCAAAGUGAAUGGAGAUAGUUUCCCAGAAGGUGACUUUCCUUGUGUCUGUCACAACUAGUGGCAUAUAAUGUGUUCACAGCAUCAUCCAGCCUGGAUUGAAGUGUUGUAAAACCUCAUAACUAUUAUUUUAGCACCAGUGGUGGGAUGAUUCUAGAACACAGGGUUAAAUUAUAGUGGGAAAAUGAUUUACAACAAUCAGAUUAUUAUUUGGCCCAGGAAACCAUGAAGCCUCAGCUUUGUCAGUCAGUACGGCAGCAUUUUAAAAAAAAAACCCAUUGUUGCUGACAAUGUAGUGGGAGGACAGAGAAAGAAAUAUCAUGUUUGAGAUGCCUAAUUUGAGAGAGCAAUAAAUGAUAGUAAAAUAGAAAAAAAAGAUACUGUCUUGUUAACAUUGUUUGUUUGUUUUUGCUGGUCUGAUUUAUCUAGGUUUUUUUUUUUUUAAAGUGGUUUUGGAUAGUUAUAUUUUGCUUUGUGGUUUGAUGUACUUGAAUACUAUUUGGGAGGCAGCUGCUUUUUGAAUUCCGUUUAUUUCAAUGGGCCAGGCUGGCCAGGAAUGCUGGAAGUUAAAAUCUAACACUUCUAUUAUUAGUAUUAGGUUGCAGAAAGCUGAUGUGAAAAAAAUUAAGGGUUACAAUUUAACAAAUAAAUACCUAAAACUGAGAUAGCACUGCGUCACAUGCUUUCUUUUGUAAUCUUUUUGCUCUGUAGCAUAUACUUAAGAGUCUAAAUAGGCAAAAAUUGGGAAGAGACAGCAUUGGAACACAAGUCAGGCAACACAGCGUUAACUAGGAUCAUAGGGCCAGCCAUGCUCAUUCUUGAUAUCUCCAACAUAUGGCAAGGAUUUCCAUACAGAAUGGAGAAAACAAAACUGACAGGAAGAAAUGUUCAAUAUAUACUAUCUGUCCUUCUCAGCAGAUUCUGUGCCAGAGUUAUAUCCAGGCAACCAAGAAGAAGCCGAUACAGAACAGACCAAAUUUAGAGAAUGUCUUUGCUUCAAAUACUGCACAAGAGUUAUUUUUUAGGACAGAAACAAAUAAUUUUAAAAUGCAAUCAGAGAGGGUGACUUAUGGGAACUGUCUCUGCCUUGACAUCGUCAGCAACAUACUGAGUCUUAUAAUAAACAGAUUCAUCGAUGCAGAGGUAUCAGCUGAUAAUACAACACAUAUACCACAAAGAGAUACAAAGGCAACAGCGCCUUGUUCUCCAAAAUACUGAAGUUAUCUCAAAGAAGACAUACAGUGAUUCUUGGCAUUUAUCUUCGCAACAAAAUUGAAAACACCCUAAAGAUACAAAGAAUAACCAGGCUCCUGGAUCAUCCAAUAUGAUCUACAUUUGAGGGAGAUCUCUGUAAUCUUAGUGUCUUCAAGCCCCCUUUUCAACUGAAUUUCAUCUUCUAGCCACUUUAUAUAAUAUCUCCUCCCAAGUCCCAAAAUGUUUCCUGUUUUCCCCAAGUUAUUGGAUGCAGGUCAGAUUUCCCUAUUGUUAAGACUACAAUCCUUUGCAUGAUUAUUAGUCAGUUCAAACCGAUUUUAAUACAGUAGCAUUUGUCUCCAGGUUAAUACACAUCAGGCCAAGUUAGUUCAGACUGUAGUCUGUUUUCUUUUGUAUAAUGUUUUCCAGGGCUGCAGAUCUCACUUUUGCCUUAAAAACGCCUCAGCUGCAAUUACUGCACUUUAAUUGCCUAAGCAUAAAUAUAAACCAGAAAUAGAGAAUCAAAGAAAAAGAAGCACAAAAGCAUACAUUUGUCAGGGAAAACUAGUUUUGCAUAUAUUUUCAUCUCUUCUAAUACAAUUGCAUUAAUAAUGUUUAAGUCAGUUUUAUUAACAAUAGGAGACACUAGAAUGUGCUGUAUAAAUUUAUAAAUGUAUACAAAUUUAUACAAAGAAGAGGGAGUCAAAUUAUUCUCCAAAGCACCAGAG